rnacentral:rRNA from 1 species
GUCGAACGAUGAAGCUGGAGCUUGCUCCAGUGGAUUAGUGGCGAACGGGUGAGUAACACGUGAGCAAUCUGCCCUUGACUCUGGGAUAACUGCGGGAAACUGUAGCUAAUACCGGAUACGACACCUUGGGGCAUCCCAGGGUGUGGAAAGAAUUUCGGUCAAGGAUGAGCUCGCGGCCUAUCAGCUAGUUGGUGAGGUAAUGGCUCACCAAGGCGACGACGGGUAGCCGGCCUGAGAGGGUGACCGGCCACACUGGAACUGAGAUACGGUCCAGACUCCUACGGGAGGCAGCAGUGGGGAAUAUUGCACAAUGGGCGCAAGCCUGAUGCAGCAACGCCGCGUGAGGGAUGAAGGCCUUCGGGUUGUAAACCUCUUUUAGCAGGGAAGAAGCGAAAGUGACGGUACCUGCAGAAAAAGCACCGGCUAACUACGUGCCAGCAGCCGCGGUAAUACGUAGGGUGCAAGCGUUGUCCGGAAUUAUUGGGCGUAAAGAGCUCGUAGGCGGUUUGUCGCGUCUGCUGUGAAAAUCCAAGGCUCAACCUUGGACCUGCAGUGGGUACGGGCAGACUAGAGUGCGGUAGGGGAGAUGGGAAUUCCUGGUGUAGCGGUGGAAUGCGCAGAUAUCAGGAGGAACACCAAUGGCGAAGGCACAUCUCUGGGCCGUAACUGACGCUGAGGAGCGAAAGCGUGGGGAGCGAACAGGAUUAGAUACCCUGGUAGU